AACGUAGGUUCCGAGCGUUAUCCGGAUUUACUGGGCGUAAAGCGCGUUCAGGCGGUUUGGCAAGUCGGGCAUGAAAUCUCUCGGCUCAACCGGGAGAGGUUGUCCGAUACUUCCAGACUUGAGGGCAGUAGAGGGUGGUGGAAUUCCGGGUGUAGUGGUGAAAUGACGUAGAUAUCCGGAGGAACACCAGUGGCGAAAGCGGCCACCUGGACUGCACCUGACGCUGACACGCGAAAGCUAGGGGAGCGAACGAG
rnacentral:rRNA from 1 species